rnacentral:rRNA from 1 species
GAUUACACCUACGGGAGGCAGCAGUGGGGAAUAUUGCACAAUGGGCGGAAGCCUGAUGCAGCAACGCCGCGUGCGGGAUGACGGCCUUCGGGUUGUAAACCGCUUUCGCCUGUGACGAAGCGUGAGUGACGGUAAUGGGUAAAGAAGCACCGGCUAACUACGUGCCAGCAGCCGCGGUGAUACGUAGGGUGCGAGCGUUGUCCGGAUUUAUUGGGCGUNNAGGGCUCGUAGGUGGUUGAUCGCGUCNNAAGUGUAAUCUUGGGGCUUAACCCUGAGCGUG